rnacentral:lncRNA from 7 species
AGAAAAUUCCAAGUGUACGCUGCUGUAUUCAUACACGUUGUCACAAGAACUCAGACUGCAGAUAAUUGUUUCUAAAUUCAGUUCUCCAGAAGGCAUUUAUAGAAAGAGCUUUGAGGAAAAUGUGAUUGUGUUCCUUUUAUUUCUCUCUAUUUUAGCCUUAUUAAAAGGAGAAACUAUGCAUCUGAAAAGAAAAACGUGAAGAGGAGACCCCGAUGCCAUUACUUUGGAGCGCUGAGAGGGUACAAGAAGACGAUGUUAAAGUAGAAUUUCUGUGAAGCUGCUUACAAUUGAAGGAAAACCUCUUUCUCCUGACCUCCUGUGAUUUGAACACGGUGUACAUCGCCUGAGUCUCACUGUUUCAGACAGGAUCUUCUGCCGCUUCCUCAUUUUCUUAGAGCACAGACUGCCAACGAUAUAUAUAAAAAAAGAACUCUCCACAAAGCAUAAAUCACAGGCAGCCCUGCAAGUGGAGCAAACUGUUAAUGCAGUGUGAUAGAAGAAGAAUGUAACUGAUCCAUUUACUCAUUGCCCUACCCUGUCUUUAUGAAAAGCUGAAUUAGCUCAAUGUUGACAAAGGAUUAAAAAACUUAGUAGUGACAUUCCUCACAGUAAGCAAAAUCUCCCUCAUUCCACAUUUCACACUGAAGGCACAGUCUUCAAAAAUAUUCACUUCUUUGUUUCCCACUAUAGAAUGCAAACAUGGCUUUCUUCCAUGGUUUCCUAUGAAGCGAAAUGUGAGCACAAUGUCUCUAUCCCACGGAACAACUGGUACUAUUAUCUGCUCUGCUGAAAGCACUGUAUCACUAACGGACUGAAAAACAUAUUUAUUUUAUCAACCAUGACAAGCAACAGGAUUUUUUUCUUUGCUACAUUAUGGGUAUAUAACAAGAAGGAAAUUCAGCUCAAGAUCUUUAGAGAGAGCUCAGAUUUCUGCAAGUACAACGCAAUUAUUAGCCAACAUUUACAAAUCACACAUAAACAGAGCACUGCUCUAGGCCAGAUCCUAAAACUUGAGACCUCAGCAAGACAAAACAAAUUGAGGACUCAGAGACAGCUGAAUCAACACCAGAUGGGUAUUUAAUUAGAUGGCUGAAGCUGUUCACAGCCCCGUGGGCUGCAGUGCUGCAGCCCUGCCUGUCCUGACCUCCCUCUGGCCGCCUCAGUAAGUGACCCUUUGGGAACAGACUGAUAGUCAACGCUAUUUUCCUUCUCCUUCCAGUAGUACCUGCUGGAGAAAAACGCCAUUCAUAUAGUUGGCAAGCUUUUCUAGCUGUAUGUGUUUUUCUAUGGCUACUAGUUACUACAAGAAUAGGUUUGAUGUGGAAGUCUUGUGGCAUAUAUCACCAGGCAAAGGUAUGGACUUAAAGGAUGGUUUGAGACAGUGUUACAAUGGAAAAUUCUGUUCAUUUUCCCUUUCCUCAAGUAGAUGUGAACUUUACUGGUAGGUGUACAGGUUACAAGAAAGCAAGCAUUUGUAAAAAUGUUCCACUGGAAUUAAUAAUAAUCCCAGCAACAAUAAUCAGUUAGAGAAUCAAGAGGAACAAAAAGAAUACAAAGGUUAACUUUCUUAUCACUGUCCUAAAAACCUUAGACAAUACGUUUAGAAUAUGGAAAGUUGCACCAGUUUUCCUUUUUUCCAAGAUGCCUCCCUACCAUAAUGACUUUUUUUUUUUAAUAAUUAGGUACAUGCACGAUGCAACUUGAAAACUUGCUCUUUUAAGCAGAUAUGUAGAUUGCUCACUUCUGUGUUACUUGGGAUUACCCUAACAUAGUAGAGGCCGUAUCAAGAAGUGAUCCUGAUACUGUACCAUUGCCUUCACUAAAGCAGGUGAUAAGACAUGGCCAUCUUGUAGAACUAACAGAUUACUUUAUUAAGCAGGAACUCAGCUCAGUGACAUGAAUGUAUGUUCAGAGACAGAUGUGAUAUAAAAAGGAGAAAGUGCAACACUGGUUAACUUCUUGCCAAGUCUAUAUUAGUUGUGUUUAUGUAUAAGGUCUGUACCAAACGUCAACAAAGUUUUUCUCUUGUUAUGUCUAAUUUACAAGACAAGAAAGUGUGUGUGCUGCUUCCCUGGGCUCUUUCUCAUAUAAUGGAAAUGAACAGUGUUGUAAAUAAAACAUGACUAUUAAUUAUCUAUGUGUAUAUAACUGCUCAGAG